UACUCAGUUGCUCUCUGUCACAGCGUUGUUUGACCAGUCUUUUCUCUGAACACCUCGUGGGGAGAACAACAGAGUCCACAGCUCUCCUCUCCUGCAGAGUCUCAUCCAGAGAGAGAAGAAAGAACCUUAUGAAUAUCCAAGAGCCACACAAUGGCACAGCACAGAGAUUAUACUCCGAUUCAAGCUUUGAAGUCCAAAAGAAAGAAUGCGCUUUCUCACGUGAUGGAUAACAGUUCAUCUCCACGGUUCUGAAACAGUGCGCUGCUGAGUUAACCAGGAUAUCGGUGAAGGGAACAGAGCUGUGGAGGCAGCAGCGGAGUUAGAAGAUGAAAAAACAGCCAUUGCCUUAAUUGGCUAAGAAAAGUGAGGAGAGGAACCCACAACUUAAUUAGGUCUAUAAUCAACAGCCUAACUAUUAAAUGUGCCUGGCUUUAUAAAUCAUCCAUAUACUGUAUAUCUACAGAAAUAAGACAGAACCUGCUUCUGUUGCCUGUUUGAGUGUUUGUUUGAGUGUUUGUGAGCACCAACCACAACAUGUUGGAUAAACAACUUUACACAUUCGGCUGUUUUUAAUAAAGGCUUUACU